rnacentral:rRNA from 1 species
GAUGAACGCUGGCGGCGUGCUUAACACAUGCAAGUCGAACGGUGAAGGCGGAGCUUGCUCUGCUGGAUCAGUGGCGAACGGGUGAGUAACACGUGAGCAAUCUGCCCCUGACUCUGGGAUAAGCGCUGGAAACGGCGUCUAAUACUGGAUACGAGCUGCGAAGGCAUCUUCAGCAGCUGGAAAGAACUUCGGUCAGGGAUGAGCUCGCGGCCUAUCAGCUUGUUGGUGAGGUAACGGCUCACCAAGGCGUCGACGGGUAGCCGGCCUGAGAGGGUGGCCGGCCACACUGGGACUGAGACACGGCCCAGACUCCUACGGGAGGCAGCAGUGGGGAAUAUUGCACAAUGGGCGAAAGCCUGAUGCAGCAACGCCGCGUGAGGGACGACGGCCUUCGGGUUGUAAACCUCUUUUAGCAGGGAAGAAGCGAAAGUGACGGUACCUGCAGAAAAAGCGCCGGCUAACUACGUG